AGAGUUUGAUCCUGGCUCAGGAUGAACGCUGGCGGCGUGCUUAACACAUGCAAGUCGAACGAACCUUCGGGUUAGUGGCGGACGGGUGAGUAACGCGUGAGAAUCUGCCCUCAGGAGGGGGAUAACGGCUGGAAACGGCCGCUAAUACCCCAUAUGCCGAGAGGUGAAACGAGUUUUCGCCUGAGGAUGAGCUCGCGUCUGAUUAGCUAGUUGGUGGGGUAAGAGCCUACCAAGGCAUCGAUCAGUAGCUGGUCUGAGAGGAUGAUCAGCCACACUGGGACUGAGACACGGCCCAGACUCCUACGGGAGGCAGCAGUGGGGAAUUUUCCGCAAUGGGCGAAAGCCUGACGGAGCAACGCCGCGUGAGGGAUGAAGGCCUCUGGGCUGUAAACCUCUUUUAUCAAGGAAGAAGAUCUGACGGUACUUGAUGAAUAAGCCACGGCUAAUUCCGUGCCAGCAGCCGCGGUAAUAAGGGAGUGGCAAGCGUUAUCCGGAAUUAUUGGGCGUAAAGCGUCCGCAGGCGGCCUGAUAAGUCUGUUGUCAAAGCGUGGAGCUCAACUCCAUUUCGGCAAUGGAAACUGUGAGGCUUGAGUGUGGUAGGGGCAGAGGGAAUUCCCGGUGUAGCGGUGAAAUGCGUAGAUAUCGGGAAGAACACCAGUGGCGAAGGCGCUCUGCUGGGCCAUAACUGACGCUCAUGGACGAAAGCCAGGGGAGCGAAAGGGAUUAGAUACCCCUGUAGUCCUGGCCGUAAACGAUGAACACUAGGUGUCGGGGGAAUCGACCCCCUCGGUGUCGUAGCCAACGCGUUAAGUGUUCCGCCUGGGGAGUACGCACGCAAGUGUGAAACUCAAAGGAAUUGACGGGGGCCCGCACAAGCGGUGGAGUAUGUGGUUUAAUUCGAUGCAACGCGAAGAACCUUACCAGGGUUUGACAUCCUGCGAAUCCCUUGGAAACGAGGGAGUGCCUUCGGGAGCGCAGAGACAGGUGGUGCAUGGCUGUCGUCAGCUCGUGUCGUGAGAUGUUGGGUUAAGUCCCGCAACGAGCGCAACCCACGUCUUUAGUUGCCAGCAUUGAGUUGGGCACUCUAGAGAGACCGCCGGUGAUAAACCGGAGGAAGGUGUGGAUGACGUCAAGUCAUCAUGCCCCUUACAUCCUGGGCUACACACGUACUACAAUGCUACGGACAAAGGGCAGCAAACUCGCGAGAGCUAGCAAAUCCCAUAAACCGUGGCUCAGUUCAGAUCGUAGGCUGCAACUCGCCUACGUGAAGGAGGAAUCGCUAGUAAUCGCAGGUCAGCAUACUGCGGUGAAUACGUUCCCGGGCCUUGUACACACCGCCCGUCACACCAUGGAAGUUGGCCACGCCCGAAGCCGUUACUCCAACCCUUGUGGAGGAGGACGUCGAAGGUGGGGCUGAUGACUGGGGUGAAGUCGUAACAAGGUA
rnacentral:rRNA from 1 species